UACGUAGGGGGCGAGCGUUGUCCGGAAUCAUUGAGCGUAAAGCGCGUGUAGGCGGCCCGGUAAGUCCGCUGUGAAAGUCCAGGGCUCAACCCUGGGAUGCCGGUGGAUACUGUCGGGCUCGAGUCCGGAAGAGGCGAGUGGAAUUCCUGGUGUAGCGGUGAAAUGCGCAGAUAUCGGGAAGAACACCCGUGGCGAAGGCGGCUCUCUGGGACGGUACUGACGCUGAGACGCGAAAGCGUGGGGAGCGAACAGG
rnacentral:rRNA from 1 species